GUGCUCACUUCAGCAGCACAUAUACUGAAAUUGGAACAUUACAGAGAAGAUUAGCAUGGCCCCUGCCCUAGGAUGAUAUGCAAAUUCAUGAAGUGUUCCCUUGAAAA
ensembl:snRNA U6 U6 spliceosomal RNA